ACUGUUUUACCCGUUCUUUUAUUCCACAAUGGGUUUCAAAGAGCUGAAACUGGUAGCAUUUGGUGUCUUGUCAUAGGGGCCAAGUAACAAUUUUCAGCAAAAUACAUGCAUCGUGAUCGAAGAGGAGUAGUUUCACGAGAUUCUCAUGCUGUCAAAAUUAACACGAGCUGGUCUUUUGACCAAUCCCGUGCCCUUUUUUUCCCCAGAGGCGGGGUAUUUCCAGUAGUGCUGGGGUGCGUUCAGUCAGAGAUACUUUUAAGGAGAUGGGAAACUCCAUUGGAAUUGUAUUAACGUCCUUGAAUACGUUGCCCAUACAGCAUCAAUGGGUCGCGCGGUGCAUUAUGGGUGAUUAUAGUACAGCGCUAGCACCACAGAGUUUCUAAACCCAAAGACGCAACACUGCGAGACUUCCGGGAACAUUUUGACCAUGGAGACCAGCUCAGGGUUUGAGAAAUCAACGAGGGAAGUGAACAUUUUCUUCCUUAGCUGUUAAUUUUCUCGACAUCUAAUGGCACAACCUAGAUUUGAGACAAUGUCUUAGGUAGUUGAGGAUGUUAAAAACAACUUUAUAUUGAAUGAGUGGGUUUGAGUUGAUAGCCUGCACAUGCGCAGUUCGACGCAAAACGACCGGUAGAGCUGAGGACGUAUUUAUGCGCAUGCGCUUAGCUAACCAACGUCGCCAUGACAUCGCCUACAAUCGUGACUCGGGAUUUCCAUUGGAGAUGCAGUUUCUGCCUAUCUUUAUACUGAACUCUUUGAUAGUACUACCACAUAAAUGAAGAAAGGAUAGGGACAACUGUGCCAAAAAUCUGUCUUCUCCAGCAGGUGGUGUUGUUUUGUUUCUUUCGCGCACGAAGAGAGGAGUUUUUGUAUGGAGGUCAAUAUGAGAGAGUUGCAUUUGGUGCUCUAAAAAUGUAAUGGCUUAUUUUCUAUGUGAGGUUUAUUUGAUCAAAUAUACGUUUUGUAAUGCUUAGGUUGUUACGAGUGUACUGGUGUAAGUAGGACACGUGACACCCCGGCAACUUUGAGAAAAAACACUAUAUUGGAGUUUCGAGAUGGCUAUGCAUAUUCAUGACAUGUGGCUAGUAGCAUAGCAUCUCUCUCGAUUCAAUACAGGCGGUUGACGUCAACACCCUCAUCGAAUAUAAAAUAACUAAAUGUAUCCACCAAUCCAAAGAGAGCAAUAGGCAAAGUUAUUUGGAAAAGUCUUCUCAUUGAUGGAGACGGAGCUGGAGACAACCAAAGUGUCAAUGUUCUUUUGAAGAACUUUACUAAAUGGUGCAAUUCAACUGGGUUUCCUGAAGAAGGAUUUACACAGUACCAGAGGAUGUUGGAUAUAUAGGCAUAAUGUCAAUUCUCAAUGGGGAAGACCUUGCUGGUGUAUGACAUGAACCUCUGGGAAAUGGAAAACUAUGAGAAAAUAUACACUGACAUAAGUGAGAGAAAUGAGACUGGCGUGUCAGUCCAUUAUACUACUUUCUACUGUCAACCCAUACUUUAGUCAAAACUUGGAGUCACACGUAUGAUAUACCAUUUUCUAGCUCAGAGUCUCUACUUUUAUCCAAUGUUAAAAACACCAUUUCAAAAUUUUCUACAUAAGACUGAAUCGAGCCGGUCGGUCACAUAUACUAUACCUGAAAUCUCAUUCAGCUUCUUGACUGUAGGUUCCUCCAGUUGUUUGACCUGAUCCUUCACCAUCACCUCAAAGGUCUUGUAGUUGAUGAACCCUGGCAGCUCCCUUCCACGGUACGUCUUCUCAUAAUCAGCUAACUGCCAUUUACAAAAGGAUGUCAUUGUGUUGCAUUACACUAAAUAAGCAAGUGUGUGAGCCUUCCAUGUCAAAUAAAAAUGAUCAAUGCAAAUAGCAUUUCCUUGUUAUCUACCUCGCCCAAAUUAGCCAUUGUUUUCGAUGGGUGCAUGAAAAUGGUUUUCUCCAGAGCGAUCCAGGUGUAACUUCCAUUUCCCAAACCCUGUUCUGCGUAGAGAAGACAUUGAGAUGAACUACGCUCUUCAGCUCCUCCCCAGUGCUCAGGUUGAUGGCAUCCUGGGUGAAUGCAGUCACUUUCUGAGAUAUAGAAAGAGACGUUAUUAGAUACAUGGGAGGGAUAUGUGUAGAUGUGUAAAGAGAAACCGCUAUGGAUAAGAUUUCAACAACUUUCAAAUUCUUUCCUGAAUUGACCAAUUUUGCUAACAAAGGAUCAAAUGGCUGUUGUGAUUUUGGGUUAAGGGUCAAGGCCAGAGCAGAGUUAAAGAGUGGGUAAUUAAAUAAUCUGGGGGUUAUAGGUUGGGGGACUCACAUCGAUCAUGAACUACAGCCUCGGGUCUGGUACCAUAUUUCUCCAGCUCGGCGUGUGUCUCUGCAAGUGGCUAUUUUAGCAUGUCAAUCUUAGUGGGGCAACAACAACAAAAAACAUUUGGGGGUGUAAAGCGACUACACAACACUAAACAAUACAUUGCACUAUAACGGUGACAAACGGUGCCCACAAACUGUUAAGGCCUACAUAAAGCUGUCCCAACACCUUACCACUGCCAUACCUGGCUAUCAGUAGAGCCUUGUCUGGCAGUGAAACAGUUCAUUUGUCACGCCCUGACCUUGGAGAUCCUUUUAAUUCUCUAUUUGGUUAGGUCAGGGUGUGACUAGGGUGGUCAAUCUAUGUUUUCUAUUUCUUUGUUGGCCGGGUAUGGUUCCCAAUCAGAGGCAGCUGUCUUAUCGUUGUCUCUGAUUGGGGAUCAUACUUAGGCAGCCUUUUUCCACCUGUAGUUUGUGUGAUCUUGUUUUUGGUACUGUGCUGUUUAGCCCUACUAGACGUUACGUUUAGUUUUGUAUUUAUUGUUUUGUUUUUUUGGUGUUCAUGUAAUAAAUUAAAAUGUACGCCUUCCACGCUG